CGCCCAACAGCUAGCCCCCCCCUACUAAAAACAACAAAACCCUGUUUAUACCCCCAAAAACACUACCAGUUAAAAACAAACCAUUUUACCUCCCCAAGUAUAGGCGAUAGAAAAG
rnacentral:rRNA from 1 species